UACGAAGGGUGCUAGCGUUGUUCGGAAUCACUGGGCGUAAAGCGCACGUAGGCGGAUGUGUCAGUCAGGUGUGAAAGCCCGGAGCUCAACUUCGGAACUGCCUUUGAUACAGCACGUCUUGAGUCCGAUAGAGGUGGGUGGAAUUCCUAGUGUAGAGGUGAAAUUCGUAGAUAUUAGGAAGAACACCGGUGGCGAAGGCGGCCCACUGGAUCGGUACUGACGCUGAGGUGCGAAAGCGUGGGGAGCAAACAGG
rnacentral:rRNA from 1 species